CUGACGCUGAGGAGCGAAAGCAUGGGGAGCGAACAGGAUUAGAUACCUGGUAGUGCAUGCCGUAAACGUUGGGCACUAGGUGUGGGGACCAUUCCACGGUUGCGCGCCGCAGCUAACGCAUUAAGUGCCCCGCCUGGGGAGUACGGCCGCAAGGCUAAAACUCAAAGGAAUUGACGGGGGCCCGCACAAGCGGCGGAGCAUGCGGAUUAAUUCGAUGCAACGCGAAGAACCUUACCAAGGCUUGACAUGUUCUCGAUCGCCGUAGAGAUACGGUUUCCCCUUUGGGGCGGGUUCACAGGUGGUGCAUGGUUGUCGUCAGCUCGUGUCGUGAGAUGUUGGGUUAAGUCCCGCAACGAGCGCAACCCUCGUUCCAUGUUGCCAGCACGUAAUGGUGGGGACUCAUGGGAGACUGCCGGGGUCAACUCGGAGGAAGGUGAGGACGACGUCAAAUCAUCAUGCCCCUUAUGUCUUGGGCUUCACGCAUGCUACAAUGGCCGGUACAAUGGGUUGCGAUACUGUGAGGUGGAGCUAAUCCCAAAAAGCCGGUCUCAGUUCGGAUUGGGGUCUGCAACUCGACCCCAUGAAGUCGGAGUCGCUAGUAAUCGCAGAUCAGCAACGCUGCGGUGAAUACGUUCCCGGGCCUUGUACACACCGCCCGUCAAGUCACGAAAGUCGGUAACACCCGAAGCCGGUGGCCUAACCCUGUGG
rnacentral:rRNA from 1 species